rnacentral:tRNA from 1 species
GGCUCUGUGGCGCAAUGGAUAGCGCAUUGGACUUCUAGGUGAAAGAAGAAAUUCAAAGGUUGUUGGUUCGAAUCCCAUCAGAGUCG